GUAGGGCGCAAGCGUUAUCCGGAAUUACUGGGCGUAAAGCGUGCGCAGGCGGUUCGUUGUGUCCGUCGUGAAAGCCCCGGGCUUAACCUGGGAACUGCGAUGGAAACUAGCGAGCUGGAGUGUGNCAGAGGGGGGUGGAAUUCCGCGUGUAGCAGUGAAAUGCGUAGAGAUGCGGAGGAACACCGAUGGCGAAGGCAGCCCCCUGGGCUAACACUGACGCUCAGGCACGAAAGCGUGGGGAGCAAACAGGAUUAGAUACCCUGAUAGUCCACGCCCUAAACCAUGUCAACUGGGUGUUCGGGAAGCGAUUUCUGAGUACCGUAGCUAACGCGUGAAGUUGACCGCCUGGGGAGUACGGCCGCAAGGUU
rnacentral:rRNA from 1 species